UACGUAGGGUGCAAGCGUUGUCCGGAUUUAUUGGGCGUAAAGAGCUCGUAGGCGGCUUGUCGCGUCGGUCGUGAAAACCCACAGCUCAACUGUGGGCUUGCGGGCGAUACGGGCAGGCUAGAGUUCGGUAGGGGAGACUGGAAUUCCUGGUGUAGCGGUGAAAUGCGCAGAUAUCGGGAAGAACACCCGUGGCGAAGGCGGCUCUCUGGGACGGUACUGACGCUGAGACGCGAAAGCGUGGGGAGCGAACAGG
rnacentral:rRNA from 1 species